CUUGUUGUCUGCAUGCAUUGAUGACUUCAUUCCAACCUGCUUAGUUAGUAAUGCCAUUGUAAUCCUAGAAUACUUGAUAAAAUGCAUCAAGAAAGGUCAAUCUUAUAAAUCAGCAAGAAUGAAAAUGAACCGACAUUAAAUAAAAUUAGUCCCUAUAUAACAACUCUUUUUUUACUGACAUGAAAAAAUUAUAUUGUAAACAGACAUUGAUAGCUAUGUUAUAUUAUUUAAACAAACUACACAUUAUCAUUACUUUUUCAUUGAUUACAUAACUUUGAAAAGAAGGAAAUAAUUUUCAGAAAGCAUGGGCUGUAGAACAUACAAAAUUAGUUUAGAGGCAAAAGAUUAUUAUUAGCUAGACAUCUCAGAAAGCUUGAAAGAACAUAUAAA
rnacentral:lncRNA from 1 species